AUUUCAGAUCGAAGGCGGCAGAGGUCGUGGACUUAACGUUUGGGAUGGCUUCACUCACCGAUACCC
rnacentral:sRNA from 1 species